rnacentral:lncRNA from 1 species
GUACGCGGUGGCUGAAAAUCACUCCAGGUAUGAUUUUUUUUAUAUUUUUUUUGCUGUAUUUUACACGGUGGCCGGAAAUCACUCCAGGUAUGAUUUUUUUUAAUAUUUUUUUUGCUAUAUUUUAGUGCUUAUGAAUAUGUAUGUAUAUAUUAUUUUUAGUGUAAAUCAAACGAAAAAAAUAUUUAGAAAAUAGAUCCGAAAGAGAAUAGUUAAACCUUGCCUUGCGCUUCUUUGAACUCCGUUCGAUUUUUCGUUGCAACUUUAUGCCUAUGUUUUCGAUCUGUUUUUGUUUUUUGGUCUAAUGUUGCUUAUUAUUUUUACUGAAAAAUGCCCGAGUGACUACAUGGUUUUUAGAUUUGGCUUUUAAAUAGCCAUUACAUUUCUUUGUUUUGCUUUAUGUCACUUCCCGUUUAAUGCUUGCAGGAGCGCAACUUGGACGACAGUGGGGCGGUGCUGUAGGCGUCGGUGGAUGGGACAGGGGUCAGAGGCUGAACGGCUAGGGUUUUAGAUUUUCUUUCAUUUUUCUUUUUCUAUUUUGUGUUUGGGCCAUGUGGGUUUAGUGGGUUUUGGGUAGGUUAUUUGUGUUGGGUUUGGGAUUUUGUUAGGUUUAGUGGGUUGUUUAGUGGGUAUUUAGGGGUUAGUGGGUUUUAUUUGGGCCCCAAAAUUGGGCUGUACAGCUGCCCCUCUUUGCUUGUUGUCGUGUAAUGAGAACAAACCAAAGACUUAAGAAAGACCAAUUUUGCCCGGUCGCUGAGUCUUGACUUCUUUGGUGCUCUUAUUCUUCAGGUAGCUUCAUUCCAGUCUACUGCGGCUCGUCACUUUACUCCGCUCCAUUGCAACUUCGGAGAAACAAGACUUGUGAUUUGUAGUCUCAAUCUGUUCCUUCGCAACUUCAAG